GGUUUUUUAGUCCAUGGGGAUUGACGUCUUAAUUGGAGAGGAUAUGGAAUUGUAGAGCUGUGAAGAUGAUGACACGGCCCUCUUCCUCUCCGGUUUGCCUGCAGGGGUCUAGAUGAUUUCAUUCAUUUAGAAGCUUUCAGAAGCCAUGCUCAGGUGAAAGUGAGACACAGGAGACUCUCUCAAGCUGCAACUGUGAAGGAUUUUCCCAAGCAAACUAAUUAAAGCCUCCAUGCACCGUUCACUUUCACUGCCAGAACAUUCCGCCCCAAAUCUUUUGUCUUCUACGAAAGAAAGAGAAAACAUGUUUGGAACGACAUGAGGGUGAGUAAACAGUGAAUUUAUUAAUCAAUAUUAAUUCAACAAACCUUAACUUAGUUUGUGCGUAGUGCACAAUGAUUAGAUGAUUAGAACAAAAACUGUGUGAUGUCAUAAUGUGUGCUGAAGUCAUCACUGGGUCAAAGAUCUGUCAACACCAUUUUGAUCUUUAAGUAUAACCGCACAUGUCAAGCACUUGCUCUACGAUAUAAUUCUCCGUUUGAUGAAUGAAGAUGAAACGGUGCAUCAUAACGUUUCUUUCCCAGCAUGCCUCCAAAUCUCACACUUUCGGCG